rnacentral:rRNA from 1 species
GAUGAACGCUGGCGGCGUGCCUAAUACAUGCAAGUCGAGCGAAGCGGGGACGGGUGAGUAACACGUGGAUAACCUCCUAUAAGACUGGGUUAACUUCGGGAAACCUGAGCUAAACCCGCUACUUAUCGAUUGAUCUGCGCUGCAUUAGCUAGUUGGUAAGGUAACGGCUUACCAAGGCAACGAUGCAUAGCCGACCUGAGAGGAGGAUCGGCCACACUGGAACUGAGACACGGUCCAGACUCCUACGGGAGGCAGCAGUAGGGAAUCUUCCGCAAUGGGCGAAAGCCUGACGGAGCAACGCCGCGUGAGUGAUGAAGGUCUUCGGAUCGUAAAACUCUGUUAGUAGGGAAGCGGUACCUAAACAGAAAGCAACGGCUAACUACGUGCCAGCAGCCGCGGUAAUAC